rnacentral:tRNA from 1 species
GGGUGGCGCCUAGCCAACGCACGCGACCGUGAACUGGACUUUUAAUCCGUAGGUUGUGGGUUCGAGUCCCACGCGACCCACCA